CCGUUAGGAGGGAAACGAAUGCGGCUGAAGUGGCUCCUCGUCAGGCUCAGGAGACGUCGAGUGGGUCCCGUCGGACUGCGGUUGCUCGCCGCGGAUCGUCUGGGCGGCCCGCCGACCACUCUGCACUUCUGCGGGGAGCCGGCCAACGGCAGUUGCCUUCCGGCCCAGGAGGGUGCUGGGGAAGGUGGCCCCGCGUACGCGUGGGGAACUUAUAGCCCGGCGCCUGGACGUUCCGGAGACGACUGAGGAGAGUUGCGAGUUCUCGCACGUUGCAGCGCAGGCCCCCCGGGGGCUGGGCCGCUUCUGCUCGGCAGACGGCCGAGGCUGCUACUGCACCGUCAGUGGCUGUCGACGGUCUCGCCGGCUGGGUGGGAGGUCGGUCGCACCUUGCGCUGUGGUCGUUGGUGCCCGAAUGGCCGCAUCCGACCCGUCUUGAAACACGGACCAAGGAGUGCAACAUGCGUGCGAGUCUCCGGGUGGCAAACCCGUGGGCGCAAUGAAAGUGAAGGCGGUGCUUGGCCCGCUGUGGCGAGAGCCCCCGACUCCCCGGAGGCAGGGGGCGCAUCGUCGACCGAUCCCAGGUCACGCUGUGGCGGGAUUUGAGUGAGAGCGUGCCUGUUGCGACCCGAAAGAUGGUGAACUAUGCCUGAA
rnacentral:rRNA from 1 species